AUUGAACGCUGGCGGCAGGCCUAACACAUGCAAGUCGAACGAGUGGCGGACGGGUGAGUAAUGUCUGGGAAAAUGCCCGAUGGAGGGGGAUAAAUACUGGAAACGGUAGCUAAUACCGCAUACCAUCGGAUGUGCCCAGAUGGGAUUAGCUAGUAGGUGGGGUAACGGCUCACCUAGGCGACGAUCCCUAGCUGGUCUGAGAGGAUGACCCGCCACACUGUGACUGAGACACGGUGCAGACUCCUACGGGAGGCAUCAUUGGGGAAUCUUGCACAAUGGGCGCAAGCCUGAUGCAGCCAUGCCGCGUGUAUGAAGAAGGCCUUCGGGUUGUAAAGUACUUUCAGCGAGGAGGCGUUACUCGCAGAAGGAGCCCCGGCUAACUCCGUGCCAGCAGCCGCGGUAAUAC
rnacentral:rRNA from 1 species